UACAGAGGUCCCAAGCGUUGUUCGGAUUCAUUGGGCGUAAAGGGUGCGUAGGUGGCGCCGUAAGUCAGGUGUGAAAUCUCGGGGCUUAACUCCGAAACUGCAUUUGAUACUGCGGUGCUUGAGGACUGGAGAGGAGACUGGAAUUUACGGUGUAGCAGUGAAAUGCGUAGAGAUCGAUAGGGAAGACCAGUGGCGAAGGCGGGUCUCUGGACAGUUCCUGACACUGAGGCACGAAGGCCAGGGGAGCAAACGGG
rnacentral:rRNA from 1 species